UACGUAGGGUGCGAGCGUUGUCCGGAAUUAUUGGGCGUAAAGAGCUCGUAGGCGGUUUGUCGCGUCGACUGUGAAAACCUACAGCUUAACUGUGGGCUUGCAGUCGAUACGGGCAGACUUGAGUUCGGUAGGGGAGACUGGAAUUCCCGGUGUAGCGGUGAAAUGCGCAGAUAUCGGGAAGAACACCCGUGGCGAAGGCGGCUCUCUGGGACGGUACUGACGCUGAGACGCGAAAGCGUGGGGAGCGAACAGG
rnacentral:rRNA from 1 species